rnacentral:tRNA from 1 species
GCCGCUGUAGCUCAGUUGGCCAGAGCACCCGGCUGUUAACCGGGCGGUCAUCGGUUCGAAUCCGAUCAGCGGCGCCA